GGAUUGAUGAUGACAAGAAGUCUCUGAGGACACUGACUGACUCAAACAAAUGGCAAUCUGAGGUCC